UACGUAGGGGGCGAGCGUUGUCCGGAUUUAUUGGGCGUAAAGAGCGUGUAGGCGGCCAGGUAGGUCUGCUGUGAAAACUGGAGGCUCAACCUCCAGACGUCGACGGAAACCGUAUGGCUAGAGUCCGGAAGAGGAGAGUGGAAUUCCUGGUGUAGCGGUGAAAUGCGCAGAUAUCAGGAAGAACACCUAUGGCGAAGGCAGCUCUCUGGGACGGUACUGACGCUGAGACGCGAAAGCGUGGGGAGCGAACAGG
rnacentral:rRNA from 1 species